rnacentral:rRNA from 1 species
GGGUUGUGAGGUUAAGCGACUAAGCGUACACGGUGGAUGCCCUGGCAGUCAGAGGCGAUGAAGGACGUGCUAAUCUGCGAUAAGCGUCGGUAAGGUGAUAUGAACCGUUAUAACCGGCGAUUUCCGAAUGGGGAAACCCAGUGUGAUUCGUCACACUAUCAUUAACUGAAUCCAUAGGUUAAUGAGGCGAACCGGGGGAACUGAAACAUCUAAGUACCCCGAGGAAAAGAAAUCAACCGAGAUUCCCCCAGUAGCGGCGAGCGAACGGGGAGGAGCCCAGAGCCUGAAUCAGUGUGUGUGUUAGUGGAAGCGUCUGGAAAGGCGUGCGAUACAGGGUGACAGCCCCGUACACAAAAAUGCACAUACUGUGAGCUCGAUGAGUAGGGCGGGACACGUGGUAUCCUGUCUGAAUAUGGGGGGACCAUCCUCCAAGGCUAAAUACUCCUGACUGACCGAUAGUGAACCAGUACCGUGAGGGAAAGGCGAAAAGAACCCCGGCGAGGGGAGUGAAAAAGAACCUGAAACCGUGUACGUACAAGCAGUGGGAGCCUCUUAAUGGGGUGACUGCGUACCUUUUGUAUAAUGGGUCAGCGACUUAUAUUCUGUAGCAAGGUUAACCGAAUAGGGGAGCCGAAGGGAAACCGAGUCUUAACUGGGCGUUAAGUUGCAGGGUAUAGACCCGAAACCCGGUGAUCUAGCCAUGGGCAGGUUGAAGGUUGGGUAACACUAACUGGAGGACCGAACCGACUAAUGUUGAAAAAUUAGCGGAUGACUUGUGGCUGGGGGUGAAAGGCCAAUCAAACCGGGAGAUAGCUGGUUCUCCCCGAAAGCUAUUUAGGUAGCGCCUCGUGAAUUCAUCUCCGGGGGUAGAGCACUGUUUCGGCAAGGGGGUCAUCCCGACUUACCAACCCGAUGCAAACUGCGAAUACCGGAGAAUGUUAUCACGGGAGACACACGGCGGGUGCUAACGUCCGUCGUGAAGAGGGAAACAACCCAGACCGCCAGCUAAGGUCCCAAAGUCAUGGUUAAGUGGGAAACGAUGUGGGAAGGCCCAGACAGCCAGGAUGUUGGCUUAGAAGCAGCCAUCAUUUAAAGAAAGCGUAAUAGCUCACUGGUCGAGUCGGCCUGCGCGGAAGAUGUAACGGGGCUAAACCAUGCACCGAAGCUGCGGCAGCGACACUAUGUGUUGUUGGGUAGGGGAGCGUUCUGUAAGCCUGUGAAGGUGUACUGUGAGGUAUGCUGGAGGUAUCAGAAGUGCGAAUGCUGACAUAAGUAACGAUAAAGCGGGUGAAAAGCCCGCUCGCCGGAAGACCAAGGGUUCCUGUCCAACGUUAAUCGGGGCAGGGUGAGUCGACCCCUAAGGCGAGGCCGAAAGGCGUAGUCGAUGGGAAACAGGUUAAUAUUCCUGUACUUGGUGUUACUGCGAAGGGGGGACGGAGAAGGCUAUGUUGGCCGGGCGACGGUUGUCCCGGUUUAAGCGUGUAGGCUGGUUUUCCAGGCAAAUCCGGAAAAUCAAGGCUGAGGCGUGAUGACGAGGCACUACGGUGCUGAAGCAACAAAUGCCCUGCUUCCAGGAAAAGCCUCUAAGCAUCAGGUAACAUCAAAUCGUACCCCAAACCGACACAGGUGGUCAGGUAGAGAAUACCAAGGCGCUUGAGAGAACUCGGGUGAAGGAACUAGGCAAAAUGGUGCCGUAACUUCGGGAGAAGGCACGCUGAUAUGUAGGUGAAGUCCCUCGCGGAUGGAGCUGAAAUCAGUCGAAGAUACCAGCUGGCUGCAACUGUUUAUUAAAAACACAGCACUGUGCAAACACGAAAGUGGACGUAUACGGUGUGACGCCUGCCCGGUGCCGGAAGGUUAAUUGAUGGGGUUAGCGGUAACGCGAAGCUCUUGAUCGAAGCCCCGGUAAACGGCGGCCGUAACUAUAACGGUCCUAAGGUAGCGAAAUUCCUUGUCGGGUAAGUUCCGACCUGCACGAAUGGCGUAAUGAUGGCCAGGCUGUCUCCACCCGAGACUCAGUGAAAUUGAACUCGCUGUGAAGAUGCAGUGUACCCGCGGCAAGACGGAAAGACCCCGUGAACCUUUACUAUAGCUUGACACUGAACAUUGAGCCUUGAUGUGUAGGAUAGGUGGGAGGCUUUGAAGUGUGGACGCCAGUCUGCAUGGAGCCGGCCUUGAAAUACCACCCUUUAAUGUUUGAUGUUCUAACGUUGGCCCCUGACCG